AUUGAACGCUGGCGGCAGGCCUAACACAUGCAAGUCGAACGAGUGGCGGACGGGUGAGUAAUGUCUGGAAACUGCCUUAUGGAAGGGGAUAACUACUGGAAACAGUAGGUAAUACCGCCUAACAUCGGAUGCGCCCCGAUGGGAUUUGCUAGUAGGUGGGGUAAAGGCUCAACUAGGCGACGAUCCCUAGCUGGUCUGAGAGGGUGACCAGCCACACUGGAACUGAGACACGGUCCAGACUCCUACGGGAGGCAGCAGUGGGGAAUAUUGCACAAUGGGCGCAAGCCUGAUGCAGCCAUGCCGCGUGUAUGAAGAAGGCCUUCGGGUUGUAAAGUACUUUCAGCGGGGAGGCGUUACCCGCAGAAGAAGCACCGGCUAACUCCGUGCCAGCAGCCGCGGUAAUUC
rnacentral:rRNA from 1 species